AUUGAACGCUGGCGGCAUGCCUUACACAUGCAAGUCGAACGGUAACAGGUCUUCGGAUGCUGACGAGUGGCGAACGGGUGAGUAAUACAUCGGAACGUGCCCAGUAAUGGGGGAUAGCUCGGCGAAAGCCGGAUUAAUACCGCAUACGCCCUGAGGGGGAAAGUGGGGGAUCGCAAGACCUCACGUUAUUGGAGCGGCCGAUGGCUGAUUAGCUAGUUGGUAGGGUAAAGGCCUACCAAGGCGACGAUCAGUAGCUGGUCUGAGAGGACGAUCAGCCACACUGGGACUGAGACACGGCCCAGACUCCUACGGGAGGCAGCAGUGGGGAAUUUUGGACAAUGGGGGAAACCCUGAUCCAGCAAUGCCGCGUGUGCGAAGAAGGCCUUCGGGUUGUAAAGCACUUUUGUCAGGGAAGAAAUCCUUUGGGCUAAUACCCUAGGGGGAUGACGGUACCUGAAGAAUAAGCACCGGCUAACUACGUGCCAGCCGCCGCCGUAACAC
rnacentral:rRNA from 1 species